rnacentral:rRNA from 1 species
UACGUAGGCAGCAAGCGUUGUUCGGAGUUACUGGGCGUAAAGAGUGUGUAGGCGGUGCUCCAAGUCUGGUGUGAAAUCUCCCGGCUCAACUGGGAGGGUGCGCUAGAAACUGGAAUGCUAGAGGAUGGGAGAGGUAAGCGGAAUUCCUGGUGUAGCGGUGAAAUGCGUAGAUAUCAGGAGGAACACCUGUGGUGUAGACAGCUUACUGGACCAUUUCUGACGCUGAGACACGAAAGCGUGGGUAGCAAACAGG